CUUCCUGUUUUCAAACGGCUGUGCUGAUAGAGCUGGUCAUGAGCAAAAUGGCUUUCCAACCAGAUAAAUCUAAACCGCAGCCCCUACUGCUACAGGAUGGAUCCCCACGUCCCCUGCCCCACGGACAUCUCCAGCCACCCCUCCGCUGACCACCACUUUUAUUUCAGAAAGCAAUGAGAUGAGAGCUCCUGGGCAGUGGCUGUGACUGUUGGAGGAAACUGCCUAUGUGUAUCUGUCUCCUCUUAACGCGGCCAUGACAAUGUCUCACCGAGGUGCAAACGUUUCAACCACCAAAGGGAGUCCCCAUACUGGACAGGUCUUAGCCUUCAGUUAUUUAAUGCUGCUUUCAGGAUUCGUAACAGUCUCCUACUUGAGACCCUCCUGCUGCCUUUGCAAAAGGAAACGCCAGAGAGAUAACCUAAGAACCGGCCCUACAAACUGAAAAUCCUCUGGGACGCUGCGUUUUGUUGCCCCAUCGUCUGUAUCGUUGCAUGAGGUAACAGAGG